UACGAAGGGGGCUAGCGUUGCUCGGAAUUACUGGGCGUAAAGGGCGCGUAGGCGGACAGUUAAGUUGGGGGUGAAAGCCCGGGGCUCAACCUCGGAAUUGCCUUCAAUACUGGCUGUCUUGAGUGUGAGAGAGGUGUGUGGAACUCCGAGUGUAGAGGUGAAAUUCGUAGAUAUUCGGAAGAACACCAGUGGCGAAGGCGACACACUGGCUCACUACUGACGCUGAGGCGCAAAAGCGUGGGGAGCAAACAGG
rnacentral:rRNA from 1 species